GGGACAGAAGAACCCCAGUAAAACCUACCAAACUAAACGGAAUGGCUUUUUGGCUGAGAAGGCUGGGUCUCCAUUUCAGGCCACAUCUGGGGAGACGAAUGGAGCCAUUCCUGGGAGGUGUUUUGCUGAUUUUGUGGCUUCAAGUGGAUUGGGUGAAGAACCAAAAGAUAGAACAGAAUUCCGAGGCCCUGAACAUUCAGGAGGGCAAAACGGCCACCCUGACCUGCAACUAUACAAACUAUUCUCCAUCAUACUUACAGUGGUACCGACAAGAUCCAGGAAGAGGCCCUGUUUUCUUGCUACUCAUACGUGAAAAUGAGAAAGAAAAAUGGAAAGAAAGACUGAAGGUCACCUUUGAUACCACCCUUAAACAGAGUUUGUUUCAUAUCACAGCCUCCCAGCCUGCAGACUCAGCUACCUACCUCUGUGCUCUAGACACACAGUAGUGCCCUGGCAGCUGCUUCCUGCACCCAAACUCCGCUAACUCUUACAAUCAGAGCUCAUGGCUGUGCUGUCUCUUAAAGGCUGAUCACGGCUCCUGACAGAAUGAGGGGCGUUACUGGAAAGGGCAUUUUUCAAAACAAACAAAUGCUCUGAAGAAUUCCUCAGAGAAAGGAGGGAGGAUUUGCUUUUAAAAAAUACAUUAAUUUUGCUUAGUUUUUGUGACUAGCCUAGAACAGCGUGAUAAAUUUAUGGGGUUAAACACAUUACACUUAAGCAUUAAAACCUGGAUUCUUCUAGAUGAAAAAUUAAUCCAAACAUUUUUGAGACCCUUCCCAAACUGAACACUGAAUAAUGAUGAUGAUGAUAACGAUAAAAAAAUUGACCUUUUAAAAAAUUGCUCUACUUAUGAAUGGCUAACCAUGCUAUAUUGGGAAACAUGUCAUAAGUCAUGGCAUUGCAGAGAUAAAUUUAGAGCCCUUGUUUACCGUGUAUGUGGAAUCAGUGAGUAGGUCAAUACACAAGUCUUCUUUUG